rnacentral:rRNA from 1 species
CAGUCGCCGCGGGAAUACCGGCAGCACGAGUGAUGACCGCUAUUAUUGGGCCUAAAGCGUCCGUAGCUGGCCACGCAAGUCCGUCGGGAAAUCCGCGCGCUUAACGCGCGGGCGUCCGGUGGAAACUGUGUGGCUUGGGACCGGAAGAUCCAGAGGGUACGUCCGGGGUAGGAGUGAAAUCCCGUAAUCCUGGACGGACCACCGGUGGCGAAAGCGCUCUGGAAAGACGGAUCCGACGGUGAGGGACGAAAGCUCGGGUCACGAACCGGAUUAGAUACCCCCGUAGUCCCUGUCUCUUAUA